rnacentral:pre_miRNA from 1 species
AAUAAACGAAUUCCUAAGUUUUUGGAUUGAGUUUUUGACUCUUCGUCUUAUUUGAAAUUUUUAUGAUUAAUAUUUUUAUUGUUAUUACAUGAUAAACACAUGAAUAGUACUUUGCAUUUGACUAAUUUUUUAAUAUUUUUUUCAAAUAAGACGGAUGAUCAAACGCUCCAUAGACGAAACUCAGGAAUCUGUUUUUU